rnacentral:rRNA from 1 species
AAAGGAAUAGACGGGGGCCCGCACAAGCAGCGGAGCAUGUGGUUUAAUUCGAAGCAACGCGAAGAACCUUACCAAGGCUUGACAUCCUCUGACGUACGUAGAAAUACGUAUUCCCUUCGGGGCAGAGAGACAGGUGGUGCAUGGUUGUCGUCAGCUCGUGUCGUGAGAUGUUGGGUUAAGUCCCGCAACGAGCGCAACCCUUAUCAUUAGUUGCCAGCGAGUAGAGUCGGGAACUCUAAUGAGACCGCCGGGGAUAACUCGGAGGAAGGUGGGGACGACGUCAAAUCAUCAUGCCCCUUAUGUCUUGGGCUACACACGUGCUACAAUGGUCGGUACAAAGGGCAGCAAACCCGUAAGGGCAAGCGAAUCUCAAAAAGCCGAUCCCAGUUCGGAUUGUGGGCUGCAACCCGCCCACAUGAAGUCGGAGUUGCUAGUAAUCGCGAAUCAGCAUGUCGCGGUGAAUGCGUUCCCGGGCCUUGUACACACCGCCCGU